AACUCUGCUAGAAUAAACUUAAAUUUAGGAGUUAUUUGACAGUUAUUGUUAGUGGUAAUGUAUUAUGUAUUAGGAGAGCAAAAGUCAGUAAGUUAGUAUGGUAUGUUUUUUCUAUUUAUGGUCAUUAUAGUGCUGCGUUUUAUAAUAAUUGGAGACAUUAUGGAUUGAAGAUGAAAGGCCAAAUAUUUUUCCUUUAUAUCGUAACAAACUCUUGGUAUUGGGAGCCAUGUUUAUGCUGGCUUGUUAAUAGUCAUCAUCGCCGUGACGUUUGUGGUGGGCUAGAAAGGUGUGCCCUACUCACCGCUCCAAUAGACAAGGUCGUCAGGACCUCUUGAGCGCCAAGGGAUCUUAACACAGGGAAGAUGAUUUUAACUGCUAAGGAGCAAAGUAGGUUAUGUCUAUUGGAAUCCAUGGGCAAAAACAAAAACAAUGGUCAUAAGGCAACAAGCAACAUCAGAAACAUGGGCAAAUUCCAAGUAUGGCUUCAUCAUAAAAGACUUGGGCAUCCCUCCUUCAACAUUAUAAAAUCCCUACUCUCUCAUUUGUUCACAAUAGUGUGAUAUUUAUCAACUGUUAAAGCAUCAUGGUACACUUGUCCCAUCUAUAGUAAAAAGGGUAAUUUUCCAUUUGACUUGAUUCACUAUGAUGUUUGAAGACCUAUCGUAGAAUCCAUUUAUGGAGAAAAAUGGUUUAUUACUUUUGUUAAUGAUUGUACUUGUGUCAUGUGGACAUACAUCAUGAAAAGUAAAUCUUGAGGUCUUUCAAACUUUUGUUAA